AACGAACGCUGGCGGCAUGCCUAACACAUGCAAGUCGAACGAGACCUUCGGGUCUAGUGGCGCACGGGUGCGUAACGCGUGGGAACCUGCCCUUAGGUUCGGAAUAACUCCCCGAAAGGGGUGAUAAUACCGGAUAAUGUCUUAGGACCAAAGAUUUAUCGCCUUUGGAUGGGCCCGCGUUGGAUUAGCUAGUUGGUAGGGUAAAAGCCUACCAAGGCGACGAUCCAUAGCUGGUCUGAGAGGAUGAUCAGCCACACUGGGACUGAGACACGGCCCAGACUCCUACGGGAGGCAGCAGUGGGGAAUAUUGGACAAUGGGCGAAAGCCUGAUCCAGCAAUGCCGCGUGAGUGAUGAAGGCCUUAGGGUUGUAAAGCUCUUUUACCCGGGAUGAUAAUGACAGUACCGGGAGAAUAAGCUCCGGCUAACUCCGUG
rnacentral:rRNA from 1 species